rnacentral:rRNA from 1 species
GACGAAGGGGGCAAGCGUUGUUCGGAAUUACUGGGCGUAAAGCGCACGUAGGCGGAUUGUUAAGUCAGGGGUGAAAUCCUGGAGCUCAACUCCAGAACUGCCUUUGAUACUGAGGAUCUUGAGUUCGGGAGAGGUGAGUGGAACUGCGAGUGUAGAGGUGAAAUUCGUAGAUAUUCGCAAGAACACCAGUGGCGAAGGCGGCUCACUGGCCCGAUACUGACGCUGAGGCACGAAAGCGUGGGGAGCAAACAGG